GCAGUCCCAGGAAGGGAUAUGAACCAGACCGAAUGAAGAAUAUCUUAUUUCAUCUGCACAGAACAAAAGAGUGUCUUUCCUUUCCCAGUGCCUGUGCAAGAUUGAAGACUUGAAUGAAAACACACUGGCUGGGCCUAGACCCGAGAACGGAUACACAGUCAGCCGGGCAAAGGGGUUCACCGAGGAGAUCUGCUGCUCAGAUAAGACUAAAACUUCCACAACAUGGUUUAAAAAGAGAAACUGGCAUCUGAAGAAUCUUCUUUUUCUUAAAAAAGGACUGUUCAACCUGAUCAGGCAGCCCCAUGUUCAGAAAUAUUUACAAGACUGUGUAAUGAUCCGUCUCACUAAGUCUUUUCCCAGGUUCAGGAAUUAGGUACAGCCCUUUUCCGAGAAAACAGACCUGCCCCCAGCUCUCUCUGCUUCAGGCAGAUCUAGCAGCUCCCUUUCCCCCUUGCACAGGUAACUCCGUGCCA